UACGUAGGGUGCAAGCGUUAAUCGGAAUUACUGGGCGUAAAGCGUGCGCAGGCGGUUUUGUAAGUCUGUCGUGAAAGCCCCGGGCUCAACCUGGGAAUUGCGAUGGAGACUGCAAGGCUUGAAUCUGGCAGAGGGGGUAGAAUUCCACGUGUAGCAGGUGAAAUGGCGUAGAGAUGUGGAGGAACACCGAUGGCGAAGGCAGCCCCUGGGUCAAGAUUGACGCGCUCGAUGCACGAAAGCGUUGGGGAGCAAACAGGAU
rnacentral:rRNA from 1 species